GGAGAAACUACACGCACUAGGAUCAGGUGGCGUCCGCUCAAGCUCCCAGUCUCCCUCUAUUGUCAAUGCUAACUAUAAAUAUAACUCUAAAUUAUAUAAAAUUGUCUUAUUGUUGUAUGAUUUCUGCUUUGUCAGUUGUUGCAUGUUAAGACAGGUGCUUUUAUUUGUCACACAGUUUUAGAAAUGCAGCCUCAUGAUGCCUGGACAACAUCUGGGAAGAAGAGGAACGUUAUACAGACCAACUGAGACAACAUCUUCUCUGUGCUGAAGCUCUGAGAGAAAAGACAGACUGGAUGGAGACGAGGACAUCAAAAAAAUGCUUGAGGAGCAGCUGGAGAAACACAGGGAGGCUCAUCAGAAGCAGCUCAGCCGCCUCCAAGAUGAGAUUGAUGCUGGACGAACUCAAACAGUAAGGAAACACCAUUAAAGCAGAAGUAGGCGAGAUUGGAGCAAAUAUUAUUUAAAAAAAAGUUAUUUUUA